UACAGAGGGUGCGAGCGUUGUUCGGAAUUAUUGGGCGUAAAGGGCGCGUAGGCGGUGCGGUAAGUCACCUGUGAAAUCCCUCGGCUUAACCGGGGAACUGCGUCUGAUACUGGAUGGCUUGAGUUCGGGAGAGGGAUGCGGAAUUCCAGGUGUAGCGGUGAAAUGCGUAGAUAUCUGGAGGAACACCGGUGGCGAAGGCGGCAUCCUGGACCGAUACUGACGCUGAGGAGCGAAAGCCAGGGGAGCAAACGGG
rnacentral:rRNA from 1 species